rnacentral:rRNA from 1 species
UGGGGAAUUUUGGACAAUGGGCGAAAGCCUGAUCCAGCAAUGCCGCGUGUGUGAAGAAGGCCUUCGGGUUGUAAAGCACUUUUGUCCGGAAAGAAAUCCUUGGCUCUAAUACAGUCGGGGGAUGACGGUACCGGAAGAAUAAGCACCGGCUAACUACGUGCCAGCAGCCGCGGUAAUACGUAGGGUGCAAGCGUUAAUCGGAAUUACUGGGCGUAAAGCGUGCGCAGGCGGUUUGCUAAGACCGAUGUGAAAUCCCCGGGCUCAACCUGGGAACUGCAUUGGUGACUGGCAGGCUAGAGUAUGGCAGGAGGGGGGUAGAAUUCCACGUGUAGCAGUGAAAUGCGUAGAGAUGUGGAGGAAUACCGAUGGCGAAGGCAGCCCCCUGGGCCAAUACUGACGCUCAUGCACGAAAGCGUGGGGAGCAAACAGGAUUAGAUACCCUGGUAGUCCACGCCCUAAACGAUGUCAACUAGUUGUUGGGGAUUCAUUUCCUUAGUAACGUAGCUAACGCGUGAAGUUGACCGCCUGGGGAGUACGGUCGCAAGAUUAAAACUCAAAGGAAUUGAC